CUUGAAAAUAAAUAUAAAAUAAUUUAUUUAUUAAAAAUAUUUAAAAAUAAAACACAUUAAUUAUAGCUUAAAACACCUAAAUCUUGUUUGAUAGGAAGGAAUAAAAGAGUGAGAUUGAAAUUGGGACCGCCUAAUAUCAAGUUUUUGUGUUUGAUAUAAACGAAAAUUUUAAUACCAGGACCCCAUGGUGCUGCAAAAACAACCCGGGGACUGAAUUUUUUUAAGACCAAAAUAGCCUUGGUUCGUGCGACACAGAUCAUCAUUUCAGAUCCACAAACUCAACCUCCCCAUCUUCUUUGGUUCAUCUUCUUCAACGGACCAUGCGGCAGCAGCACGAUGAUUUCAGUUCCAGGCCUGGACAAAGCAUGGACUUGCUGUGUUUGCUCAAGAUCGUCGUUCCCACAGCCGCCGAACCCACAUCCACAACUUAGCUUGCUGCGUUUGCUCCGUUCCAAGUCGUCGGUUGUUGCUUUUGAUUUCUUCUAAUGGGUUCCCAUUUUCUGAUUUUGGCCCACAAGUUUGAAUCCAUGGCUUUGAUUUUCUUCC